GCACAAACACACAUGCUGACAGGGCCUGAUCCCAACCCGCUGCCGCUGCACCCCGCAACCCCCGGAGUUACCCCCGGCCUCACCCUACAUCCUUAACUUCCACUUUGCUGGGGUCCAGCUCCACGUACUUCUUCUCCUCAAACACCUUGUUGAUGAUGGGGCCCAGGACGCCGUGCAGGUACUGCAUCCCGGCCACCUGGGGACCACCGCAGGUCACAUUGAUCCUGUCUCCCCCAGUCCCACUCCAGCUGCCCACCUUCUCCCGGCAGCCGCCCUUGCACCGUUUGCCUGCCGUAUCCGCCCAGGAGGGGGCCAGGGCUCUGAAUAUGGAGAUAGAACACUGGAGUCGAAGUCCCAGCCCCCUCUGUCGCUCUCUCUGAAGCUCAGUGACUACUCCAGUAUUAAAUGAUGCAUGUAUAAAGUUAGUCACUCUAUCAUUAUCUGUAAUAGCAGAUGAUUGGAAAUGACCUAAAUGUCUCAUAAUAAGGAACUAGUUUUAAAAAGCAUGUUCCAUUCAUGCCUUGAAAUACUAUACAUUGAAAAAAUAAAAAUUGUAUAAAUAUGUGAAAAAAACAGUGUGUAUAUUAUACUACGACUUACUUCUUUGUGCAUAGAUGUUCUACAAGGCUAUAUAAAAGAUUGUUAAUUAUGGUUGUCUCUUGGGAGGGGGAGUUUAGAUUGUAUAAUGGGGUAGAAGGCUGACUUUUCGUUGUUUACUAUUCUGCACCUUCUGGAUUUUGUACUAUGUAUAUAUUUUAUAUAUUAAAAUAGCUUUAUAUAAAUAAAACUAGCCCCAUGGCUGAAUAAAUUUUAUUACAAUUUUCUUAUGAUUCCCUGAUACUCUGUUCCUUAACU
rnacentral:lncRNA from 10 species